rnacentral:rRNA from 1 species
AUGGCUCAGGAUGAACGCUAGCUACAGGCUUAACACAUGCAAGUCGAGGGGCAGCAUGUGGUUGCUUGCAACCAAUGAUGGCGACCGGCGCACGGGUGAGUAACGCGUAUCCAACCUUCCCCUUAGUAGAGGAUAGCCCGGCGAAAGUCGGAUUAAUACUCUAUGUUCUUCAAUGCGGACAUCUAAGUUGAAGCAAAGAUUUAUCGCUAAGGGAUGGGGAUGCGUCUGAUUAGGUUGCAGGCGGGGUAACGGCCCACCUGGCCUACGAUCAGUAGGGGUUCUGAGAGGAAGGUCCCCCACACUGGUACUGAGACACGGACCAGACUCCUACGGGAGGCAGCAGUGAGGAAUAUUGGUCAAUGGGCGCGAGCCUGAACCAGCCAAGUAGCGUGCAAGGACGACUGCCCUAUGGGUUGUAAACUGCUUUUAUCAGGGAAUAAAGUGAGGCACGCGUGCCUUUUUGUAUGUACCUGAUGAAUAAGGACCGGCUAAUUCCGUGCCAGCCGCCGC